AGCGAACGCUGGCGGCAGGCCUAACACAUGCAAGUCGAACGAACUCUUCGGAGUUAGUGGCGGACGGGUGAGUAACACGUGGGAACGUGCCUUUAGGUUCGGAAUAACUCAGGGAAACUUGUGCUAAUACCGAAUGUGCCCUUCGGGGGAAAGAUUUAUGUCCUUUAGAGCGGCCCGCGUCUGAUUAGCUAGUUGGUGAGGUAAAGGCUCACCAAGGCUACGAUCAGUAGCUGGUCUGAGAGGAUGACCAGCCACAGUGGGACUGAGACACGGCCCAGACUCCUACGGGAGGCAGCAGUGGGGAAUCUUGCGAAAUGGGCGAAAGCCUGACGCAGCCAUGCCGCGUGGAUGAUGAAGGUCUUAGGAUUGUAAAAUCCUUUCACCGGUGAAGAUAAUGACUGUAGCCGGAGAAGAAGCCCCGGCUAACUUCGUGCCAGCCGCCGCCGUAAGAC
rnacentral:rRNA from 1 species